UUAGGCUACUUUCACAUUAGUGUUUUUUGGGGAUCCGUCAUGGAUCUGCAAAAACGCUUCCGUUAGAAUAAUACAACCACCUGCAUCUGUCAUGAAUGGAUCUGGUUGCAUUAGGUCUUCUAGAGCCAUGAUGGAUUCGUCUUGAACACCAUUGUAAGUCAAUGGGGGAUGGACAGGUUUUCUAUUGUGCCAGAUUCUGUCAG